CCUACGUGAGGCAGCAGUGAGGAAUAUUGGUCAAUGGGCUUACGCCUGAACCAGCCAAGUCGCGUGAGGGAAGACUGCCCUAUGGGUUGUAAACCUCUUUUGUCAGGGAGCAACGCCGGCUACGUGUAGCCGGACUGAGAGUACCUGAAGAAAAAGCAUCGGCUAACUCCGUGCCAGCAGCCGCGGUAAUACGGAGGAUGCGAGCGUUAUACGGAUUUAUUGGGUUUAAAGGGUGCGUAGGCGGAAUGCCAAGUCAGCGGUAAAAUCGCGGGGCUCAACCUCGCUCCGCCGUUGAAACUGGCGUUCUUGAGUGGGCGAGAAGUAUGCGGAAUGCGUGGUGUAGCGGUGAAAUGCAGAGAUAUCACGCAGAACUCCGAUUGCGAAGGCAGCAUACCGGCGCCCAACUGACGCUGAAGCACGAAAGCGUGGGUAUCGAACAGGAUUAGAUACCCCAGUAGUC
rnacentral:rRNA from 1 species